UUACCGAGUUCAUGCCCUUACGGGUAGAUCUCCCACCCUUUGUAUACUAUACCUUUGUUGCUUUGGCGGGCCGCCUAGCUACUGGCUUCGGCUGGUAUGUGCCCGCCAGAGGACCCAAAACCCUGAAUUAUUAGUGUCGUCUGAGUAAAAUAUUUAAUAUUUAAAACUUUCAACAACGGAUCUCUUGGCUCUGGCAUCGAUGAAGAACGCAGCGAAAUGCGAUAAGUAAUGUGAAUUGCAGAAUUCAGUGAAUCAUCGAAUCUUUGAACGCACAUUGCGCCCCUUGGUAUUCCGAGGGGCAUGCCUAUUCGAGCGUCAUUAUCACCCCUCAAGCCUAGCUUGGUGUUGAGGCCUGCUGUCAAGGCAGCCUCUAAAAUCAGUGGCAGUGCUGUCAGGCUCUAAGCGUAGUAAAUCUAAUCGCUAUAGACACCUGGUGGACACUCGCCAGAACCCCCCCAUUUUUUAAUGAUUGACCUCGGAUUAGGUAGGGAUACCCGCUGAACUUAAGCAU
rnacentral:rRNA from 1 species